UGGGGAAUAUUGCGCAAUGGGAGAAAUCCUGAAGCAGCAACGCCGCGUGGAGGAUGAAGGGUCUAUGACUUGUAAACUCCUGUAAAGAAGGAAAAAAUUCCCAUUUGAUGGGAGAUGAUGGUACUUCUGGAGUAAGCCCCGGCUAACUACGUGCCAGCAGCCGCGGUAAUACGUAGGGGGCAAGCGUUGUCCGGAUUUACUGGGUGUAAAGGGUGCUCAGGCGGAUUUGUAAGUCAGAGGUGAAAUCUUACAGCUUAACUGUGAAACUGCCUUUGAUACUGCAAGCCUAGAGUAUGGAAGAGAGUGAUGGAAUAUCUGGUGUAGCAGUGAAAUGCGUAGAUAUCAGAUAGAACACCAAUGGCGAAGGCAGUCACUUGGUCCAUUACUGACGCUAAAGCACGAAAGCGUGGGUAGCAAACA
rnacentral:rRNA from 1 species